UAUGCCUACGGGGCGCAGCAGUAGGGAAUUUUCGUCAAUGGGCGCAAGCCUGAACGAGCAAUGCCGCGUGAACGAGGAAGGUAUUCGGAUCGUAAAGUUCUGUUGAAGGGGAAAAAGAGCGGAGAGAGGAAAUGGUCUCCGAUUGAUAUUACCCUUCGAGGAAGUCACGGCUAACUACGUGCCAGCAGCCGCGGUAAUACGUAGGUGGCGAGCGUUAUCCGGAAUGAUUGGGCGUAAAGGGUGCGUAGGCGGUUCACUAAGUCUGAUGUGA
rnacentral:rRNA from 1 species